rfam:Triticum aestivum genome assembly, contig: Triticum_aestivum_CS42_TGACv1_scaffold_499764_6BL
UAAUUACUCCCUCCGUCCGGAAAUACUUGUCAUAGAAAUGACUAAAAAUGGAUGUAUCUAACACUAAAAUACGUCUAGAUACGUUUGUUCCUCCGACAAGUAUUUCUGGACGGAGGGAGUAUGUC